CCCAGACUCCUACGGGAGGCAGCAGUGGGGGAUAUUGCACAAUGGGGGAAACCCUGAUGCAGCGACGCCGCGUGUGGGAAGACGGUCCUCUGGAUUGUAAACCACUGUCCCCAGGGACGAAGAUGACGGUACCUGAGUAAGAAGCCCCGGCUAACUACGUGCCAGCAGCCGCGGUAAUACGUAGGGGGCAAGCGUUAUCCGGAUUUACUGGGUGUAAGGGGAGCGUAGACGGCGAUACAAGUCUGAAGUGAAAGCCCGGGGCUCAACCCCGGGACUGCUUUGGAAACUGUGUUGCUGGAGUGCUGGAGAGGCAAGCGGAAUUUCUAGUGUAGCGGUGAAAUGCGUAGAUAUUAGGAAGAACACCAGUGGCGAAGGCGGCUUGCUGGACAGUAACUGACGUUGAGGCUCGAAAGCGUGGGGAGCAAACAGGAUUAGAUACCCCCGUAAC
rnacentral:rRNA from 1 species